UGGCUCAGACAGUAAAGUGUCUGCCUGCAAUGCAGGAGACCCAGGCUCGAUUCCUGG
rnacentral:tRNA from 1 species